rnacentral:rRNA from 1 species
CUCGCAAGAGGAGCGGCAGACGGGUGAGUAACGCGUGGGAAUCUACCGUACCCUACGGAAUAGCUCUGGGAAACUGGAAGUAAUACCGUAUACGCCCCCCUUUAAAAUGUCAGAAUCAUAAAAUGCCUCUGGCAUUUUAUGGGGGGGAAAGAUUUAUCGGGGUAUGAUGAGCCCGCGUUGGAUUAGCUAGUUGGUGGGGUAAAGGCCUACCAAGGCGACGAUCCAUAGCUGGUCUGAGAGGAUGAUCAGCCACAUUGGGACUGAGACACGGCCCAAACUCCUACGGGAGGCAGCAGUGGGGAAUAUUGGACAAUGGGCGCAAGCCUGAUCCAGCCACGCCGCGUGAGUGAUGAAGGUCUUAGGAUUGUAAAGCUCUUUCACCGAUGAAGAUAAUGACGGUAGUCGGAGAAGAAGCCCCGGCUAACUUCGUGCCAGCCGCCGCAGUAACAC